AUACGUAGGGGGCGAGCGUUGUCCGGAAUGAUUGGGCGUAAAGGGCGCGUAGGCGGCCUGUUAAGUCUGGAGUGAAAGUCCUGUUUUCAAGAUGGGAAUUGCUUUGGAUACUGAUGGGCUUGAGUGCAGGAGAGGUUAUCGGAAUUCCCGGUGUAGCGGUGAAAUGCGUAGAGAUCGGGAGGAACACCAGUGGCGAAGGCGGGUAACUGGACUGCAACUGACGCUGAGGCGCGAAAGUGUGGGGAGCAAACAGGAUUAGAUACCCUGGUAGUCCACACUGUAAACGAUGAAUGCUAGGUGUAAGAGGUAUCGACCCCUUUUGUGCCGCAGUAAACACAGUAAGCAUUCCGCCUGGGGAGUACGGUCGCAAGAUUAAAACUCAAAGGAAUUGACGGGG
rnacentral:rRNA from 1 species